UUAACUUAUUUGUAUAUUACUCGGACAACACAAAAAUCAAGAGUUUAGGGUUCUCUGGCAGGCACGGACCAGCCUAAGCCAGUGGUCAUAAGACGGGCCUGCCAAAGCAACAAAGGUAAUAUAAACAAAGGGUGGAGUAUUAGGGUGUAAGCCCAUAAUGACUCUUUAAUGAUCCUUCCGCAGGUUCACCUACGGAAA
rnacentral:misc_RNA from 1 species